UUGGUGAUCUCCUCAGACCAUCGCGAACGAAGUUUACUCGAAAACAAAUGUAGAUGUGAAUUGAAAUGUAAUAACUUUUGCCUGACCUGCAACUCGCGCCUCAAUGCAGUUGUCGUGCCACGCUUUCAUCUUCUCUUUAUAAAUGUUUUCAUUCUUGUAGUCUUGAGAGUGCCAUUCAUGAAGCUCAUUCAACUGCAUUAACCUAGCUUCUCCUGCGGCUUGAUGGUCGAAAUUUAACUUUUCACAAGCCCAAAAGUGCUUUCUACUUCAUCUCCAAUGGUAAAUGGCAAGCCUUCCCGAAAACUAGCGCAUAUGGGGACAUGCCAAUACGCGUCUUAUAUGCUGUGGAAUAUGCUCAUAAUGCAAAAUCUAGUUGAUCUACCCAGUCUUUGCGAGAUAAACUUACCACCUUUUCCAGUAUCUUCUUGAUUUAUCUGUUGGAGACUUUCGCUUGACCAUUUGUUUGAAGAUGGAAUUUGCUGAAUGUAACAGCAUCAUUCUACGCACAAGAGAUGGCUUCAACACAUUUGAAUACAUAGUCAACACCAACAAGAUAUAUAUAUAUAUGGCCACCAAAUGAGAUGAAAGAAACGGCCCCAUAAAUCAAUUCUCCAUACAUCGAAGAGUUCAAUUUCCAGGAUGGACUGUUCAGGUUUUUGGCUUCGCUUCAAACUUUCGGCUUCAGUUCGCGUUCUCCGCUUAUUUUUGUUCUUUUGGUAUUUUUGUUUUUCGUUCGGUUGUAAUAUGUUUGAAAUAGAUUUUCUUCUUUUUCUAUUUGUUUGAAAUCGAUUUCUUCAUUUUUUGUUUGAUUGUGGUGUGUUGUUACUUAGGGUUAAGGUCUAUUUGUGAUAUGUUUAUAUAUUAUUAAUAGACUUGAGAGAUAUUUAGUUUGUUUGCAUUGAGAUGUUAAUAGAUAAUUUAGUUUUAUGUACAUUUUUGUGUGUUGUUUAAAGUUCUAUCAAUGAUAUUUCUAUCAGCUUGUUUGUGUUGGGAAGUUAGUAGCAGCUCUAUUUUAAAGUACAUUUUUUGUGUGAUGUUGCUUAGAAUCUAUCAGUGAUAUGUUUCUAUCACUAAUUGAUAGAUUUGGAGGAUGUUGAACUUGUUUAUGUUGGGAUGUUAAACUUUUUUUUUUACAUACUAAUCUGUUUGUUUGCGCUAAGGUGUGUUGGUAGAUGUUUUAGGUUAUGUGCUUAGGGUUAUGGUCUAUUAGUGAUAUGUUUGUAUCAGUGAUAGACUUGGGAGAUGUUUAGUUUAUUUGCAUUGAGACGUUAGUAGAUGCUUUAGUUCAAUGUGCAUUUUUAUAUGUUGUUGCAUAGAAUCUAUUAGUGAUAUGUUUCUAUUAUUGAUAGACUUGUUAGACUUUGAGGAUGUUUAGUUUGUUUACGCUAAGGUGUGUUGUGGAUGUUUUAGUUUAUGUGCAAUUAUUUAUGUGAUGUUUCUUAAACUAUCAAUGAUACAUUCUAUCAUUGAUAAACUUGGAAUAUGUUUAGGGAUGUUAGUAGAUAAUUUAGUUUAAUGUGCAUUUUUUUGUGAUGUUGCUUAAAGGUCUUUUAGUGAUUGAUUUCUAUCACUAAUGGAUUUGGAAGAUGUUUAGAUUACUUGCAUUAUAAUAUAUAUUUAUAAACCCUAAUUCAAGCUCUAGUCUAAAGUAAAUUAUGUGUGGGAUGUUGCUUAUGUUCUAUCAGUGAUAUGUUUCUAUCACUAACUGGUAGAUUUGGAGGAUGUUGACUUGUUUCUUCAACAUGUUAAUCAUUUUUCAAUUUGUGUUUUGUUGCUUAGGGUUAUAGUCUAUCAGUGAUAUGUUUGUAUCAGUGAUAGACUUGAGAGAUGUUUAGUUUGUUUACAUUGAGGCGUUAGUAGAUGCUUUAGUUCAAUGUGCAUUUUUCUAUAUGUUCUUGCUUAGGAUCUAUCAAUAAUAUGUUUCUUUUGUUGAUAGACUUUAAGGAUGUUUGGUUUGUUUGCGCUAAGGUGUGUUGUGAAUGUUUUAGUUUAUGUGCAUUUAUUUAUGUGAUGUUUCUUAAACUAUGAAUGAUACAUUCUAUCAUUGAUAGACUUGGAAGAUGUUUAAAUUUUUUUCAUUAUAAUAUAUAUUUAUAAACUCUAAUUCAACAUUAUCAUUUUAGGUUGUUCAAGAAAAAAAAAAUGAAAACAGUGGAAUUAGCAAAGGAUGUUAAAAAUGUUGGACCGAAGAGACAACUUAACCGAUCAAAGAAAAUGUUGGAAUGCAAAAGACUAGAAUAUUGCAAUAGACCGGUUGAUUUGUUCCUAUUUUUGAUUUGCAACUCUUUCAUUGAGUAAAUGAAUAUUGUAUUAUUAUUUUUGUGGAUAUUUCAUGAUAGAAAACAUCAAUGAUAGAUUUCAUGCUUUAUUUGAUUUUGUUCGAUUGAUAUAAAAAAGUGUUGGACCACAGGUUGAAUAUUGCAA